rnacentral:rRNA from 1 species
UACGGAGGGGACUAGCGUUGUUCGGAAUUACUGGGCGUAAAGCGCACGUAGGCGGAUUUGUAAGUCAGGGGUGAAAUCCCGGGGCUCAACCUCGGAACUGCCUUUGAUACUGCAAAUCUCGAGUCCGGAAGAGGUGAGUGGAAUUCCGAGUGUAGAGGUGAAAUUCGUAGAUAUUCGGAGGAACACCAGUGGCGAAGGCGGCUCACUGGUCCAUUACUGACGCUGAGGUGCGAAAGCGUGGGGAGCA